AUGGCCUCUGCCGCGCUCCUCGUCCUCCUCGCCCUGGCCACCAUGCAGGCGCAGACCACGUCGUCCGAGAAGGAGACGCACCUCAAGGUGUACUGGCACGACGUGGUGAGCGGACAAGACCCGACAUCGGUGCCGGUGGCGCGCGCGGCCACGACCAACACCUCCAAGUCGGCCUUCGGCGUCGUCAUGGUCAUGGACAACUCACUCACAGAGGGGCCGAGCCUCGACUCAUCCAGGCUCAUGGGCCGCGCCCAGGGCACGUACAUCGCCGCCGGCAAGGACCAGCUGGCGCUGCUCAUGCUCAUGAACUUCGUCUUUACCGCCGGAAAGUACAACGGCAGCAGCAUCGCCAUUGUGGGUCGCAACGCCGUGUUUACCGAGGUCCGUGAGAUGGCUGUCGUCGGUGGUACCGGCGUGUUCAGGUGGGCACGCGGGUACGCGCAGGCCAGGACGCAUACCUUAGACCUCAAGACCGGCGACGCCACCGUCGAGUACAACAUAUUCAUCAGGCACUAG
rnacentral:rRNA from 1 species